AGCGAACGCUGGCGGCGUACUUAACACAUGCAAGUCGAACGGGGAUCGACACGUGAGCAAUCACGUGGCGGUCUUAGUGGCGUACGGGUGAGUAACACGUGGGCAACCUGCCCUUGAGUCUGGGAUAACCUCCCGAAAGGGAGGCUAAUACCGGAUACGGUCCUCGGGUCGCGAGAUCUGAGGAAGAAAGGUGGCGCAAGCUACCGCUCUUGGAGGGACUCGCGGCCUAUCAGCAGUUGGUGAGGUAACGGCUCACCAAGGCUAUGACGGGUAGCUGGUCUGAGAGGACGACCAGCCACACGGGGGACUGAGA
rnacentral:rRNA from 1 species